AGGUAUCAUGUCUCGACAGGCUGAGGAAAGAGGAGGAGAAGCGGCUGGCGGAGGAGGAGCGCUUGAGGCGUGCAGAGGAGGAGAAGAGGCUUGCGGAGGAGAGGAAGAGAGAAGAGGAGGAGCAGGCUCUUAUAGCAGAGGAGGAGAGACAGCGAAUGGAGCAGGAGGAGCAGCAAAGACAGGCUGAGCUAGAUAAAGAGCGCGAGGAGGCUGAAGCAAAGGCCCAAGAGGAAGCAGAGAGGCAGCGUCAGGAGAGAGCACGCAUUAUGCAACAGAACCAACAGGAGCGCAUGGAGAGAAAGAAGAGAAUUGAAGAAAUUAUGAAGAGAA